rnacentral:tRNA from 1 species
GCCCGGGUGGUGAAAUUGGUAGACACAAGGGACUUAAAAUCCCUCGCCUGCAAGGGCGUACCGGUUCGAUUCCGGUCCCGGGCACCA